rnacentral:rRNA from 1 species
CUCAUCCUACGGGAGGCAGCAGUGGGGAAUAUUGGGCAAUGGGCGCAAGCCUGACCCAGCAACGCCGCGUGAAGGAAGAAGGCUUUCGCGUUGUAAACUUCUUUUAUGAGGGACGAAACAAAUGACGGUACCUCAUGAAUAAGCCACGGCUAACUACGUGCCAGCAGCCGCGGUGAUACGUAGGUGGCAAGCGUUAUCCGGAUUUACUGGGUGUAAAGGGCGUGUAGGCGGGACUGCAAGUCAUAUGUGAAAAUUAUGGGCUCAACCCAUAACCUGCAUUUGAAACUGUAGUUCUUGAGUGAUUG